rnacentral:rRNA from 1 species
CCCAGACUCCUACGGGAGGCAGCAGUGGGGAAUAUUGGGCAAUGGGCGCAAGCCUGACCCAGCAACGCCGCGUGAAGGAAGAAGGCUUUCGGGUUGUAAACUUCUUUUAUCAGGGACGAAGCAAGUGACGGUACCUGAUGAAUAAGCCACGGCUAAAUACGUGCCAGCAGCCGCGGUAAUACGUAUGGUGCAAGCGUUAUCCGGAUUUACUGGGUGUAAAGGGCGUGUAGCCGGGUUGACAAGUCAGAUGUGAAAUCCUGCGGCUUAACCGCAGAACUGCAUUUGAAACUGUUGAUCUUGAGUACUGGAGAGGCAGACGGAAUUCCUAGUGUAGCGGUGAAAUGCGUAGAUAUUAGGAGGAACACCAGUGGCGAAGGCGGUCUGCUGGACAGCAACUGACGGUGAGGCGCGAAAGCGUGGGGAGCAAACAGGAUUAGAUACCCUAGUAU